AGCAUAAUCCUUAGGCCUUAGAGGUCUUGCUCAGACAUUUUUCUGGAGAGGAAUAUUUCCCUUCCAAUUAGUGAAGUAUUGCAACAGCUGUGAGAGCUAGCCCCUAAAGCCCUUCUGGGUCCCAUUCUCAUUCAUGUAGGCUGUGCCAUGUUAAUGGUGCCCAGUGAGCCUUCUAGCUCACAGCACUCUGUUAGUGGUCCUGAGAAACAGAUCCAUCUCCUUCGAGCUGCCGUUGCCCACUUUCUUCCCUUCAGGCCACAGCAGACUUCUACGCCACAUGCUUCCAUUCUCCCUGCUCUGCAGGGACAGGACAGAACCUAAGGAGGCUCAGGGAAGGGACCUGGGAGGGAACAUUGCAAGGAAGAGAUGGGCCAUGGAGAGGAAGUAUACAAAAGUGACCCAGACAAAGAGAUUCUUUGGGCUUUCAUCCACGUGAAUGUGCUGCUUUUCCUCUCCUACUUCGAUACUUCCUUCUGAUUUUACACAUGUUUUGGGAUUAUUCAUGGGCCUGGAUAUGAUAUAAAAAUUAAAGAUUUAAAACAA
ensembl:lncRNA novel transcript, antisense to TMC3